AACGCGAAGAACCUUACCUGGGCUUGAACCGCUACUGACCAAGGGUAGAAAUAUCCUCUUCCCGCAAGGGACAGUAGUAGAGGUGCUGCAUGGCUGUCGUCAGCUCGUGCCGUGAGGUGUUGGGUUAAGUCCCGCAACGAGCGCAACCCUUACUCGUAGUUGCCACCCGCAAGGGGGAACUCUACGAGGACUGCUCCGGAUAACGGAGAGGAAGGUGGGGAUGACGUCAAGUCAGCACGGCCUUUAUGUCCAGGGCUACACACGUGUUACAAUGCAUGGUACAGACUGUUGCGAACCCGCGAGGGGGAGCUAAUCGGACAAAACCAUGCUCAGUUCGGAUUGCAGUCUGCAACUCGGCUGCAUGAAGCUGGAAUCGCUAGUAAUGGCGUAUCAGAUCGACGCCGUGAAUACGUUCCCGGGCCUUGUACACACCGGCUAC
rnacentral:rRNA from 1 species